rnacentral:rRNA from 1 species
UAGUCCACGCCGUAAACGAUGUGCACUAGAUCGGUGCGAGUCUGACCUCGUGCCGAUCGGAGAGAAAUUAUUAAGUGCACCGCCUGGGGAGUACGGUCGCAAGGCUAAAACUCAAAGGAAUUGACGGGGGCUCACACAAGCGGUGGAGCAUGUUGCUUAAUUCGAAGCAACGCGUGGAACCUUACCAGGGUUUGACAUGCACGGAUUAACUCUAUGAAAGUAGAGCCACGCCCUUGGGUGGAACGUGCACAGGUGCUGCAUGGCUGUCGUCAGCUCGUGCUGUGAAGUGUCGGGUUAAGUCCCUUAACGAGCGCAACCCUUAUCGCUAGUUGCCAGCGCGUAAUGGCGGGGACUCUAGCGAGACUGCCGGUGUCAAACCGGAGGAAGGUGGGGAUGACGUCAAGUCCGCAUGGCCCUUAUGUCCUGGGAUGCAAACGUGCUACAAUGGCGUGUACAGAGCGAUGCAAGACCGCGAGGUGGAGCAAAUCGA